rnacentral:rRNA from 1 species
UACGAAGGGGGCUAGCGUUGUUCGGAAUUACUGGGCGUAAAGGGCGCGUAGGCGGUCCUGAUCGUCGGAUGUGAAAGGCCUGGGCUCAACCUGGGAACUGCAUCCGAUACGGCGGGACUGGAGUGUGGGAGAGGUUGGUGGAAUUCCCAGUGUAGAGGUGAAAUUCGUAGAUAUUGGGAAGAACACCGGUGGCGAAGGCGGCGACCUGGUCCGUGACUGACGCUGAGGCGCGAAAGCGUGGGGAGCAAACAGG